CCGGGUUGCGGACAGUGUCUGGUGGGUAGUUUGACUGGGGCGGUCUCCUCCUAAAGAGUAACGGAGGAGCACGAAGGUUGGCUAAUCCUGGUCGGACAUCAGGAGGUUAGUGCAAUGGCAUAAGCCAGCUUGACUGCGAGCGUGACGGCGCGAGCAGGUGCGAAAGCAGGUCAUAGUGAUCCGGUGGUUCUGAAUGGAAGGGCCAUCGCUCAACGGAUAAAAGGUACUCCGGGGAUAACAGGCUGAUACCGCCCAAGAGUUCAUAUCGACGGCGGUGUUUGGCACCUCGAUGUCGGCUCAUCACAUCCUGGGGCUGAAGUAGGUCCCAAGGGUAUGGCUGUUCGCCAUUUAAAGUGGUACGCGAGCUGGGUUUAGAACGUCGUGAGACAGUUCGGUCCCUAUCUGCCGUGGGCGCUGGAGAACUGAGGGGGGCUGCUCCUAGUACGAGAGGACCGGAGUGGACGCAUCACUGGUGUUCGGGUUGUCAUGCCAAUGGCACUGCCCGGUAGCUAAAUGCGGAAGAGAUAAGUGCUGAAAGCAUCUAAGCACGAAACUUGCCCCGAGAUGAGUUCUCCCUGAGACUUA
rnacentral:rRNA from 2 species